UACGGGGGGGCAAGCGUUUGUUCGGAAUUACUGGGCGUAAAGGGCUCGUAGGCGGCCAACUAAGUCGGAUGUGAAAUCCCCAGGCUUAACCUGGGAACUGCAUCCGAUACUGGAUGGCUUGAAUUCGGGAGAGGGAUGCAGAAUUCCAGGUGUAGCGGUGAAAUGCGUAGAUAUCUGGAGGAAUACCGGUGGCGAAGGCGGCAUCCUGGACCGACAUUGACGCUGAGGAGCGAAAGCUAGGGGAGCAAACGGG
rnacentral:rRNA from 1 species